rnacentral:rRNA from 1 species
GAUGAACGCUGGCGGCGUGCCUAAUACAUGCAAGUCGAGCGAACAGACGAGGAGCUUGCUCCUCUGACGUUAGCGGCGGACGGGUGAGUAACACGUGGAUAACCUACCUAUAAGACUGGGAUAACUUCGGGAAACCGGAGCUAAUACCGGAUAAUAUAUUGAACCGCAUGGUUCAAUAGUGAAAGACGGUUUUGCUGUCACUUAUAGAUGGAUCCGCGCCGCAUUAGCUAGUUGGUAAGGUAACGGCUUACCAAGGCAACGAUGCGUAGCCGACCUGAGAGGGUGAUCGGCCACACUGGAACUGAGACACGGUCCAGACUCCUACGGGAGGCAGCAGUAGGGAAUCUUCCGCAAUGGGCGAAAGCUUGACGGAGCAACGCCGCGUGAGUGAUGAAGGUCUUCGGAUCGUAAAACUCUGUUAUUAGGGAAGGACAAAUGUGUAAGUAACUAUGCACGUCUUGACGGUACCUAAUCAGAAGGCCACGGCUAACUACGUG